ACCCUGGUGCUUGCACCAGGUGAUUAGUGGCGAACGGGUGAGUAACACGUGAGUAACCUGCCCCCGACUCUGGGAUAAGCCCGGGAAACUGGGUCUAAUACCGGAUAUUCACUUCCUUCCGCAUGGAGGGUGGUGGAAAGAUUUAUCGGUGGGGGAUGGACUCGCGGCCUAUCAGCUUGUUGGUGGGGUAAUGGCCUACCAAGGCGACGACGGGUAGCCGGCCUGAGAGGGUGACCGGCCACACUGGGACUGAGACACGGCCCAGACUCCUACGGGAGGCAGCAGUGGGGAAUAUUGCACAAUGGGCGAAAGCCUGAUGCAGCGACGCCGCGUGAGGGAUGACGGCCUUCGGGUUGUAAACCUCUUUCAGUAGGGAAGAAGCGAAAGUGACGGUACCUGCAGAAGAAGCGCCGGCUAACUACGUGCCANCAGCCGCGGUAAUACGUAGGGCGCAAGCGUUAUCCGGAAUUAUUGGGCGUAAAGAGCUCGUAGGCGGUUUGUCGCGUCUGCCGUGAAAGUCCGGGGCUCAACCCCGGAUCUGCGGUGGGUACGGGCAGACUAGAGUGAUGUAGGGGAGACUGGAAUUCCUGGUGUAGCGGUGAAAUGCGCAGAUAUCAGGAG
rnacentral:rRNA from 1 species